UCGAGUGAGGGUCCUCUGGGCCCCAUCUCCAACCCGUGUCUAUCAUACCCUGUUGCUUCGGCGGGCCCGUCCUUAACUGGACCGCCGGGGAUCAUCGCCCCUGGCCAGCGCCCGUCAGUAGCCCCCCUCAACUCUUAUUAAUGUGUUGUCUGAGUCCAUGAUAAUAAGCACAA
rnacentral:misc_RNA from 1 species